UGGGCAAAAACUUAUAUAUAUCACGUGAUAUCAUUGUACAAGGGACCGACUUUGCUUAAUAAAACUUCUAUCUUUCUUCAUUGUUGAGUCACGUUUUGAGAGAGAGGAAGGAGAGAGAAAUUUUUGGAUCGGUAUCCCCGAGCUUAAUGUAAAUCUCUUUCUCUCUCUUCUCUUUCUAUCUCUAUCUCGCUCUUCCUCUCUCUUCUCUUUCUCUCUCUUCUCUCUCUUCUCUUUUUUCUCUCUUCCUUCUUUCUCUCUUUUUAUUUCUCCUCUUUCACAGACAAUGGAACCCCAUCGUCGUCCGUAUUUCACUCUUUCUCCUUCUCUUCUUCUCUCUUUCCUUCUUUUGUGGUCCCGUAUGACCAUGACCCUCCUCUUCCCUUUUCUUUACGGUUCCUCACGACCACAACCGUCCCCUCUCCCUCCUUGUGAUCCAGCAUUACUACAAUUUCUUUCUUUUUUUAUUCUUUUACCCCUGCACAAUCACUUGCUCCCCGUACACUCUCAAGUCCACCUCAUCUUUCUUUUUUUCUGGUAGUCCCUCAUAUCCAUCUCCUUUCUCUUUCUUUUUUAGUGAACCCUCACAUUACCCCUAUGGUGUAUGGUCGUUUUUCUCUCUCAGGCUCCGUGGUCUUUGCGCAACCAUCAUUUGCCAAAACAUAACCGUAACCCAUCGCCUCGUGUAUGCAAAACAUAACCGUAACCCAUCGCCGCGUGUAUGCAAAACAUAACCCAUCGCCGUCUGUGCAACCACCCUAACGCCGCGCGUGAACUCCACCGAUUGGUGGGCACGACUCCAAUCUCACCACCAAACCUUCUUCACUGCCAACCUGUGGCCACAGCCGGCAGUGUGUAACCUUUUCCAGUCUGCUGAACCCUCUUCCUCUUUCCCUCACCUGGCUGUUGCCCUCACUUGGUCACCACCAUCAGCACCAAAGAUUAGUCCCGAUCCCUAUCAACAGUCUCCAUUAGCACCAUUAAAACCUCAGUCUUCUAUCCUCUCACGUCCCCAUCUCCUUCACCCUCAACCCUUCCGAGCCCCUCUUCCCACUCGCCCUCAUCUCUACUAUCACAGCCACCGCACUGCUGCCUCCCUUUUUUUCUCACUGCUAUACCACACCUCUCCGCCACUUCCCUGCUGCAACCCACCUCUGACCAGCAGCCCAUCUUCCUCUCUUCCUUCGCUACUUUCUCUUCCUCCAACUCCUUGCACCCAUAUCUUCCCAAUCUUUGCCUCUCCCAUCCGCUGCGAUUCCUAUCCGCUCUGCUUCUCUCUCUCUAACUUUCUGUAACCAGCAGCCACCUCUGCUUCUCUCACACCUUCUGCCAUCCAUACUCCUCUCUCUUCUCUCGCCCAUGACCUCCAACCAGCUGUAACCACCAUAGCAGCGAUCACCUUGUCCUCUUCUUUGCUCCCAGUAACCAAGAGCCAACCAUUUCCGCCGUCUCCAUAUCUCUGCCACCUCUCGUCAGCUGCUGCCCUCUCUUUCGCUCUGUCUCCAAUCCUCACCGAAAUCCCCCCUGCAACGGUCCGCCUCUCCCUCUUUUCUCGCUCACUCCUCCUUCUCAAUCUCCAUUGCUAUCACCUCUGCUUCUCUUUCCUUUCAUCUCCUUCGCCACCUACAGCCCUCUCCCACAUCAUCGCCAUCUCCUCAAUCGCCCCACCUCUGUCGAAUUCCUGCAAAC
rnacentral:lncRNA from 1 species